rnacentral:rRNA from 1 species
GAUGAACGCUGGCGGCGUGCUUAAUACAUGCAAGUCGAACGAGGGACUUUUGUCUUCGGAUAGAGGUUUCCUAGUGGCGAACGGGUGAGUAACGCGUUGGUGACCUGCCCUAUGGAAAGGAAUAGCCUCGGGAAACUGGGAGUAAUGCCUUAUAAGAUACAUUUGUCGCAUGGCAGAAGUAUUAAACGCUCCGGUGCCAUAGGAUGGACCCGCGUCCCAUUAGCUAGUUGGUGAGAUAACAGCCCACCAAGGCGACGAUGGGUAACCGGUCUGAGAGGGCGAACGGUCACACUGGAACUGAGACACGGUCCAGACUCCUACGGGAGGCUG